CGAGCUGCCAGCCUCUCAUCUUUCCUCUGCAUUAACAUGAGGGAAAGGACCCUGGAGUCACCAAAUUAACCCCAUAACGUGGCUCCUCUUUUGAACACAAAGCAACCCCCUCGAUCGUAGGGUCAUAAUUCAUUCAUCAAAGGAUCUGACGGAACCCACCGUGGCAAUCCCUUGACUUAAAUCAGGAGCCUUUCAGCAUUCAUUAUGGGGACCCAUAAUAGAAAAUGCAGCGAUCGGUCAUGGUGAUGAGCUGAUGGUUUCAAACGCUUGGCCACGGUUGUUGUCAUCAUCAGAAACACAUUUUCGAUAUCAAAACAAGUAAUGUCUUUAAUCUUUCUUAUCUCCCGAAGAUGAGGUGAAUCUAUCGUUUGGAUUUCUUGUGAUCUUUUGGCCCUUCACUUAGAUAUCUGUGGAUAACAGUCUCUCUCCCUCCAAGUUUGGUUGUUCUAUUUUACUAAUACUAUAUAUAUCCUUCCCAAUUCGUAGCUUUGUCUGCAGUACUUCAAUUUUUUGCUUUCCUUUUCCUUUUGGCGAUUUUCUAUUCUUUAUUACUUGCUUCUUUAUGUUGUUCUCUUCGUUUUGGCCAUUUCUGUUCGAGGGAAAUAAUGUACUGUCACAACUACAACCACCACCAUGUUCUCCCUUGCCUUCAUUGCCACCCACAUAGCUACAUUCGGAUGAUUCAGCAUCUGAUUGAGAGAUGUUUGCUUCUUCACAUGAACCGACAACAAUGCGUCAAGGCAUUAGCAAAGUAUGCCAGCAUUCGGCCGUGCAUUACCGUUACAGAAAUGCCAAUGUCUCUUUGCAGUGUGGAGGGAGCUACAGAAAGAGAAUAGGGACUUUUUUCAAGCAUAUUUUCAUGCCCUAUCUCCCAGGCCUUUCAUGGGUAGGUAUAUCCAAAGGAAACCGAGAUUUGAAAGGAAAAAGCAGUAGUGGAGGUGAAUGAUAGAAUUAGGGAAAAGAAUUGGAGCUCAUGCAUCCGGAUCCCAUUAGGGUUUUCCAAAUGAAAGGGCCUUUAUGAGUUUUGGAAACUCAAUAAAACUUUGUAUAUGGUCUAAAGAUAUUAGCCCUUGUGUGCUUCCUUAAUUAAUCAUCCAGUUGAAGCUCAUCUAAAAUGUAUAAUUAAGCAAUUUGUCCAAGUUAAUCACUAACAAAAUUAAGCAAAUUAA